rnacentral:pre_miRNA from 1 species
UUGUAGGGCAAUCUGUCUUUAAGUAGGGGUAAAUGGCUUUUAAUGAAGAAAAAAAAAAAAGGAAUCCUAAGUAGUUUUCCCUUCAAGUCAAGCAUCUUGU